rnacentral:rRNA from 1 species
AAUGAACGCUGGCGGCAUGCUUUACACAUGCAAGUCGAACGGCAGCACGAACUUCGGUCUGGUGGCGAGUGGCGAACGGGUGAGUAAUACAUCGGAACGUGCCCAGUUGUGGGGGAUAACUACUCGAAAGAGUAGCUAAUACCGCAUGAGAACUGAGGUUGAAAGCAGGGGAUCGUAAGACCUUGCGCAACUGGAGCGGCCGAUGGCAGAUUAGGUAGUUGGUGGGAUAAAAGCUUACCAAGCCGACGAUCUGCAGCUGGUCUGAGAGGACGACCAGCCACACUGGGACUGAGACACGGCCCAGACUCCUGCGGGAGGCAGCAGUGGGGAAUUUUUGACAAUGGGCGAAAGCCUGAUCCAGCAAUGCCGCGUGCAGGAUGAAGGCCUUCGGGUUGUAAACUGCUUUUGUACGGAACGAAAAGCUUCGGGUUAAUACCCUGGAGUCAUGACGGUACCGUAAGAAUAAGCACCGGCUAACUACGUGCCAGCAGCCGCCGUAA